GAUGAACGCUGGCGGCGUGCUUAACACAUGCAAGUCGAGCGGGCAAUUUAUCUAGCACUGAUUACUUCAAAUGGAAAUCAUAAGUGUAAUCAUGAAUUUCUACCUUUAAUAAAGAAAAAAGAAAUUCAUGUACGCAAAUAGUGAUAACACAUUUUAGUGGAGUGAUGAGUGCUGGAUAAAUUGCUAGCGGCGGACGGGUGCGUAACACGUGGGUAACCUGCCCCUAUCACUGGGAUAACACACUGAAAAGUGUGCUAAUACCAGAUAACAUAAGCUUUUGGCAUCAUUAGCUUAUCAAAGAAUUUCGGAUAGGGAUGGGCCCGCGUCUGAUUAGCUAGUUGGUGAGGUAACGGCUCACCAAGGCAACGAUCAGUAGCCGACCUGAGAGGGUGAUCGGCCACACUGGAACUGAGACACGGUCCAGACUCCUACGGGAGGCAGCAGUGGGGAAUAUUGCACAAUGGGCGAAAG
rnacentral:rRNA from 1 species